rnacentral:rRNA from 1 species
CGAAUUCGCCCUUAGAGUUUGAUCCUGGCUCAGAACGAACGCUGGCGGCGUGCCUAACACAUGCAAGUCGAGCGAGAAAGUAGCGAUACGAGUACAGCGGCGAACGGGUGAGUAAUACGUAGGUAAUCUACCUUUUAGUGUGGAAUAACAUUCCGAAAGGAGUGCUAAUACCGCAUGUGGAUCCACUCUUAAUGAGUGUAUCUAAAGGGGGCUCUCGCAAGAGGCUCUCGCUAAUUGAUGAGCCUGCGUCCCAUUAGCUAGUUGGUAGGGUAAUGGCCUACCAAGGCAACGAUGGGUAGCUGGUCUGAGAGGACGACCAGCCACACUGGAACUGACACACGGUCCAGACUCCUACGGGAGGCAGCAGUGGGGAAUAUUGCGCAAUGGAGGAAACUCUGACGCAGCGACGCCGCGUGGGUGAUGAAGGCCUUCGGGUUGUAAAGCCCUGUCGGCUGGGAAAAAGGCUGUCGUGCUAACACCACGAUAGUUUGAUGGUACCAGCAAAGGAAGCACCGGCUAACUCUGUGCCAGCAGCCGCGGUAAUACAGAGGGUGCAAGCGUUGUUCGGAAUUACUGGGCGUAAAGGGCGCGUAGGCGGCUUUGCAAGUCAGAUGUGAAAUCCCGAGGCUUAACUUCGGAAGUGCAUUUGAAACUGCAGAGCUAGAGUUCAGUAGAGGUUGGCGGAAUACCCAGUGGAGAGGUGAAAUGCGUAGAUAUAGGAAGGAACACCAGUGGCGAAGGCGACCACCUGGACUGAUACUGACACUGAGGUGCGAAAGCGUGGGGAGCAAACAGGAUUA